rnacentral:rRNA from 1 species
GAUGAACGCUGGCGGCGUGCCUAAUACAUGCAAGUCGAGCGAACGGACGAGAAGCUUGCUUUUCUGAUGUUAGCGGCGGACGGGUGAGUAACACGUGGAUAACCUACCUAUAAGACUGGGAUAACUUCGGGAAACCGGAGCUAAUACCGGAUAAUAUUUUGAACCGCAUGGUUCAAAAGUGAAAGACGGUCUUGCUGUCACUUAUAGAUGGAUCCGCGCUGCAUUAGCUAGUUGGUAAGGUAACGGCUUACCAAGGCAACGAGGCAUAGCCGACCUGAGAGGGUGAUCGGCCACACUGGAACUGAGACACGGUCCAGACUCCUACGGGAGGCAGCAGUAGGGAAUCUUCCGCAAUGGGCGAAAGCCUGACGGAGCAACGCCGCGUGAGUGAUGAAGGUUUUCGGAUCGUAAAACUCUGUUAUUAGGGAAGAACAUAUGUGUAAGUAACUGUGCACAUCUUGACGGUACCUAAUCAGAAAGCCACGGCUAACUACGUG